UACAGAGGUCUCAAGCGUUGUUCGGAUUCAUUGGGCGUAAAGGGUGUGUAGGUGGCGCCGUAAGUCGGGUGUGAAAUCUCGGGGCUUAACUCCGAAACUGCAUUCGAUACUGCGGUGCUUGAGGACUGGAGAGGAGACUGGAAUUCAUGGUGUAGCAGUGAAAUGCGUAGAGAUCAUGAGGAAGACCAGUGGCGAAGGCGGGUCACUGGCCCGGUACUGACGCUGAGGUGCGAAAGCGUGGGGAGCAAACAGG
rnacentral:rRNA from 1 species